rnacentral:tRNA from 1 species
GGAAGUAUAGCUCAGUGGUGAAGUACAUGCUUAGCUUGCACGAGGUCCUGGGUUCGAUUCCUAGUGCCUCCA